rnacentral:lncRNA from 1 species
AAAAAAUAAGUUCAGUAUUUUGAGAAAUAGAAAACAAAAGGAAUUUACUUCCCUUGAUGGUGAAAGAUCAAUAAUUGUUUCUUCUUCCUCUGAUAUAGUAGUUGGUAUUUUUCUGGAAUCUUAUUGGGUCCAAGUCUCGUUUAUUUCUAGUCAUCGCCUGGGGUAUUUGAUGUAGUUGUUUGCUGCUGUUGCUGUGUAUUGCUACUGCUAUCCUGCUGAUCACUCCUCUUCUUCUUUUGCUUCUAAUAUCAGGUACACAACUGGUACACCUUGUAAGUUGAUAACAUGAAGCAUGAAUACAAAUGAAAAGUUGAAGUUUUAAUUUUAUCUACUUUUGUUACUGAAUGUAUUUAGGCCACUCUAUAUACUAUUGUUAUAUAAGUUUCUGCCAUGUUCGUAUGACAGGACAACUUGUAGUGAUGUACUAAAUAAUAUUCUAUUUUAAUUUGGUUAUUAAGUAAUAUAUGUUUAAGCAUGUUCAUUACUGUCAAACUGUUUUGAUGUUGUCAAUAGUAGGUUAAUCGCGAACAUGUAGUUUAAUCUAUUUAAGGUUUUAAUUUGAAUUAACUUCGUGAAUUAGACAUUAAGGCAUGCUUUGAGGUCAAACAAGGCGAGUUAACUAUUAAGUUUAAUAGCUUUCUCAUAAGCUUUGGUAAUUAUGAUUAAAUUUAGUUUCAAAUAGUUGUAAAUAAUUAAUUCCAAUAGUUCUUUUUUACAAUACGAGUUUUAAUCUAGCUAUAAUUGAUUUUUUUAAUAUUAGUUGUCAAUUUCAUCUUUUAUUUAUAAUUUCGAAAUUUUAAUUUUAUUUUCCACUAAUUUUUGUCUUAAUCUAGCAGUUAGUGUAUUUUUUUUUAUUUUUAAGCUCGUAAUUAAUUAGGAUUUUUCUCUCUUUUAUUUUAGAGACCAAUUUAAUAGAAAUGAAAUCACUUUAGAAUAUCCUUAAAAUAAAGAAGGUGUGCGUCGCCAAAAUAAAAACAUAUAAGUUGUGGGGUCCUUAAUAAAUGUAUAUAUUUAAAUACUUAGACUCCGGGGUGGGUUGUUUAGUGAAUUUCACGGCCUUCUCAAAAAUAAUAACGUUUUAGCAUCUUUAGGCGCGUACUUAAUAAUGUUAUCUUCCCUAAACUCGGGUGGGCAUUUUAUGNNNNNNNNNNNNNNNNNNNNNNNNNNNNNNNNNNNNNNNNNNNNNNNNNNNNNNNNNNNNNNNNNNNNNNNNNNNNNNNNNNNNNNNNNNNNNNNNNNNNNNNNNNNNNGUCCUAAAACGUUGGAUAGAGUUUGCCUAGGAUUGCGGGCUCCGGCGGCGCAAUCCAAAAGCACACUUUAAACGACGUUCACAUUCUCAAAUAAAUAUAUAUUAAAUAAAAGCGAUAAAAAGUAAAAUUGGCAUAUAGGUUCUUCAUGUAAUAAAAUCGGAUAAAUAAGCUAAAUAUGACAAUUGAGCGACCGUGCUAGAACCACGGAACUCAGGAAUGCCUAACACCUUCUCCCGGGUUAACAGAAUUCCUUAUCCAGAUUUCUGGUGCGCGGAUUGUUAAACAGAGUCAUUCUUUUCCUCGAUUCGGGAUUAAAUCGGUGACUUGGGACACUAUAAAUCUCCCAAGUGGCGACUCUGAUUCUUUAAUAAAUAAUCUCAUUUCUAUUGUCCUUUAAUUGGAAAAACUCCCUUACGCCCUCGCGGGGGUGGAAAAAGGAGGUGUGACAGCUCUGACAACUCUGCUGGGGAUAAAUAACCCAGAACCGCUGGUUCAGGGUUAGAAAUUCGAUCUUAGAAUAAUUGUUGUAUUUGGCUUUCUUUAUUAUCUGAUGUUUGUUAAAUUUUUUUGGAUUUAAUUUGCAAAAUAUUGCUUAUUACCGCUUUGAUAUUUUUUGAACUAUGUAUAUAAACUGCUACGAAAUCCUUUUUCUUUCUGAGUUUUUUUUUUAAAAUGGUGCAUACGUUCGCGUAGUCCACUUUUUAUAAAUAUAAUGCCAAAUAGAGUGAAGUUGGGCAAGCGACAAAGCCGGGCAGACUUUAGUGCUCCCGAAACGUCGCCCCCUCCUCAGCCCCAGUUGUUCGCUCGGGUAUCCCAACUCUAGACCAAAACCCUAGUUUUUUUAAAAAAAUCUAGUAAAACACAGCUUCAUGUUGAAUCCCUAGUAGGAACAUUUAUUUGCAUCAUGUGCAUUUGAUUUAGAGGACUCAACAUAGGGGUUGAGUCCGUUUAGGACAAGCAACCUGAAGUAAAAAGACAAUCCGACUGCAUCCUGUUUGUUUUAUGCAUUUAUUUGCUUCAAACAUGAAUGCCGACCGACUUCUAAAAAUUGGAAAUAUUAGAAAAUUGUGAAAAAAGAGAAAAAUAGUAGUGUAGAGGGUUAAUCAUCUGUUUUGAAAAAUAACGAUGUUCAAGUACUGUCGAAACUCUGCCGAAAUUUUGAGAAAAUGAGAAAAAUAUAUUUUACUUUUAAAAUUGUUUGUUUUACCCAAAAAGGCAGAAAAUGUGUAGAAAAGAGUGUUCUGUUUUCAAAAAACGGAAAGGAAAAAUAGUUUGUUUGCUAUAAACGAAAAAGGAAAAAAAUAUGUUUGUUUUCAAAAAUUAGUUAGUUUAUUUGGCGAAAUACGCCGGUAUGAUUCUCACAGGGUAUGAGAUACGUAAGCAACCCUCAUCGUGUCCAACCUCCCUUUUUGCUAAAAAAAAUCAAAAUAUUAAUUUUUGUCAUAAAAAGGUCGGGUGACGUUUUCUUUUGUCAAACAUAGCCGAAUGUUCCCAAAAGGGACGCCGGAAGGCUGACUUUGCAGAAACAGCCACCUUUGGGUCAUUUUUAGAUUUGGGCAGAUUGACCCACACAACCUUAAAAUCUUCGCCCCCCAGGCGCUGAAAGGUCGUGUUUGCAAUAUCGGGUCUUCUAUUUUGAAAAAAAAGUCAUAAUAAGUCGGGGAUUGUUGUUUUUAUCAAAAAUAGCCGAAUGUUCCCGAAUGGGGCGCCGGAAGGUCGACUUUGUAUAAACAGCCACCUUUGGGACAUGUUUUUAGAUUUUGGCCAGCUGACCCAGACAGCCUUAAAUCUUCGUCCCUGAAGUGCUAAAAGGCAAUCUUUGCAAAACUUGGCCUUUUAUUUUAAUUUGAAAUAAAAGAGUUAGUGGGCAAGUGAUUGCCGAUCAAAUUUUUAGUCAAAAGUAAGCCGAGCGAGCUUCGGCAUUGCAUUCAACCGUUCUUGCCGAGAUAGCCUUAGAGUAUCUUUCAUUUGUCGAAAGGCUAUUUUCGUCAAAAAUGGACAAGUUUGUAGAGUGUCGUGAAAUAAUUUUCCCGGCCUCAAAAUUCAUGUGAAUUGAGAGGAGGCCACGUUGCAGAAAUAGCCAUUUGGCUGAAAGUGGCAAAUAGGGAAAUGAAUCUAUCCGUUUGUUUUUGAGUUUGUAAUUCUUUUGAUAAAAUAUGCGGGUUGUUUGAUUUUCGAGUCCUAUGUUGUCUUUUCGUCAAAUUUUGAUAGUUUGGUCCGUUUUUAAACCAUUGUAAUUAAAGUUGUUUUAUUAUGAAAGUUGAAAAUUCCAAAAAAGGUUUCAUUGUCGUUUACUUUUUAUUGGUCAGGACUACGCAAGGUCUGAUUCAUGCAGGGUCAUGAUUCAUAGGCAAUCUCCAUAUGAUUCGACCACAACAAAAAAAUGAAAAAGAAGAAAAUUUAAAAAAGAAGGCAAAAGAUGUUGUUAAUAAUGAAGAUAGACUAAGUCUAUGCUAACAUGUUUUAUUUUGAGUUUUUACAAAGCUGGUGCGAUCGGUGUGUGGUAAGCUGGAGGCACAAGACCCGGGAAAAUUUGAUUCAAGACAGUGACAUCCAGAACAUCACGCUGAAUCCUUUACAUAAACAUGAAGAUGCACACUUUGUGGGGAUGAUGCCCGGUGACAUGGGGUAUGCGAAUAUACUGACUAAAGCUGAAGUUCUUGAUGCAGAUAGUCGUCUUGGCAAUAUGGAUGCGAAGCUCAAUGGCUAAAAAUGCC